AGAGUUUGAUCAUGGCUCAGGAUAAACGCUGGCGGCGUGCUUUAUGCAUGCAAGUCGAACGGUCUCGAUUUGUCGAGAUAGUGGCGAACGGGUGAGUAACGCGUAAGCAACCUGCCCCUAAGUAGGGGAUAACUCUGAGAAAUUGGAGCUAAUACCUUAUGUGGUGGUGGAGGUAAGGCUCCAUCACUAAAGCCUUAGGGUGCUUGGGGAGGGGCUUGCGUCCGAUUAGCUAGUUGGUAGGGUAACGGCUUACCAAGGCGAUGAUCGGUAGCUGGUUUGAGAGGACGACCAGCCACAUUGGGACUUAGACACGGCCCAGACUCCUAUGGGAGGCAGCAGCAAGGAAUAUUGUGCAAUGGGCGAAAGCCUGACACAGCGACGCCGCGUGGGGGAUGAAGGCCUUCGGGUUGUAAACCCCUUUUCUCAGGGAAGAAUAAUGACGGUACCUGAGGAAUAAGUCUUGGCUAACUACGUGCCAGCAGCCGCGGUAAUACGUAGGAGGCGAGCGUUAUCCGGAUUUACUGGGCGUAAAGAGGGCGUAGGCGGUUCAUCAAGUCGGAUGUGAAAUCUCCCGGCCUAACUGGGAGGGGUCAUUCGAUACUGUUGGGCUAGAGGGCAGCAGAGGGAGGCGGAAUUCCCGGUGUAGUGGUGAAAUGCGUAGAUAUCGGGAGGAACACCAGUGGCGAAGGCGGCCUUCUGGGCUGUUUCUGACGCUGAGGCCCAAAAGCGUGGGGAGCGAACAGGAUUAGAUACCCUGGUAGUCCACGCCGUAAACUAUGGACACUAGGUAUAGGGAGUAUCGACCCUUUCUGUGCCGAAGCUAACGCUUUAAGUGUCCCGCCUGGGGACUACGGCCGCAAGGCUAAAACUCAAAUGAAUUGACG
rnacentral:rRNA from 1 species